AAGUCGUAACAAGGUUUCCGUAGGUGAACCCUGCGGAAGGAUCAUUAAAAGUAGAAUUGGUUUAUACAUUUCAUGUAGUCCAACUGGCAUUUAACCCCAUUCCCGCAAGUACCAUUGCCUGUUGCCUUCCAAUCGGGGCCUCGACCCUAUGGUUCACCCUUGUGAUGUGAAACCCAAGAAGAGUUCCCCAUUGGGAAAGGUAAUCAAUUAAAUUCAAUGUUAUCCAAUAGUGCUUCUGUCUGAACUGUUUAUAACAAAUGUUAAAA
rnacentral:misc_RNA from 1 species